CAGCUGGCGCAGCUACACAUGCAGUCGAGCGGUAGCACAGAGAGCUUGCUCUCGGGUGACGAGCGGCGGACGGGUGAGUAAUGUCUGGGAAACUGCCUGAUGGAGGGGGAUAACUACUGGAAACGGUAGCUAAUACCGCAUAACGUCGCAAGACCAAAGUGGGGGACCUUCGGGCCUCAUGCCAUCAGAUGUGCCCAGAUGGGAUUAGCUGGUAGGUGGGGUAACGGCUCACCUAGGCGACGAUCCCUAGCUGGUCUGAGAGGAUGACCAGCCACACUGGAACUGAGACACGGUCCAGACUCCUACGGGAGGCAGCAGUGGGGAAUAUUGCACAAUGGGCGCAAGCCUGAUGCAGCCAUGCCGCGUGUGUGAAGAAGGCCUUCGGGUUGUAAAGCACUUUCAGCGGGGAGGAAGGCGGUGAGGUUAAUAACCUCAUCGAUUGACGUUACCCGCAGAAGAAGCACCGGCUAACUCCGUGCCAGCAGCCGCGGUAAUACGGAGGGUGCAAGCGUUAAUCGGAAUUACUGGGCGUAAAGCGCACGCAGGCGGUCUGUCAAGUCGGAUGUGAAAUCCCCGGGCUCAACCUGGGAACUGCAUUCUAAACUGGCAGGCUAGAGUCUUUGUAGAGGGGGGUU
rnacentral:rRNA from 1 species